AAUAAGUUAUUUUUGCUUAUUUCUAAAAUAAGUAUAAUAUUUUAGAUAAAUAAAAAUUAUAUUAAUGGAUGAAAAUUGAAUUAUUCGGAGAUAUUGAAAAAAUUAUGUUUGGAUGAUUAGAUUAAAAUGGUAGCAAUAAGAGUAAUUACAUAAGCAUAGCCGUUAGAUGAAGGGAUGUACGGUUAGGAUGAUAGCAGUCUCUGAUUAAGAGUUGAAUGGGCAGUUGGUUGAAUAGUAUGAUCUAACGGAUAGAAAUGAUCAAAAGGAUAAAUCUAAUAGUCAAAAAUUUAUGAGUACAAAGGAAUUUAUACUCAUAAGUGUAUAGUAGCUGGACUCUCUUUCUCUCUCUAUAUAUAUUGCCAAAAUAAUAAACAUAAAAAUAUUAACAAAUUAAUAAUAUUUUAAUAAUCUAAUUAAUUAAUGAGUAAUACUAUAUAA
rnacentral:lncRNA from 1 species